UUCCAUUGCUACUGACUGGAUGCCAGCUGUGAGCCAGGCACCACCCUAGCUCUGGGCAUGUGGUUGUAAUCUUGGAGCCUCAUGGAGCUCACAGGGAGUGCUGGCAAGGAGAUGGAUAAUGGACGGAUAACAAAUAAACAUUUAGUACAAUGUCCGGGAAUGGAAAGUUCUCGAAAGAAAAUUAAAGCUGAUGUCCAAAAAUGAUACUGACAUCCCAGGUCAGAAUGGUCGCCAGUUCCGAUCAAGACAGAGCCCCGUAUCUUCCAGGGACACUAGACAAGAUGCCAGGACCACGCCUCCGCUCUGCCCAGAGGCCAAAAGCAGCCCAACAAGGAGAAGCCAGACGUGAAGGAUAUAAAUUGAACCAACUUGGACUGAAGAUCCCAGCCAGGAGGAUCUGCUCCCCCAGGAAGGGAACUGAUUUGUCCUCGAGGCCCCUGGGAUAGGAGAAGCCACAGCAUCCUGUUGUUUGAUCUUCUUAUCUUCAAGCAGGCAUGACUCGGUUCCAGAAAUACAAGCCAUAAGAUAGACCUCCAGACUCCUAGAGACGAUCUGAAGCUGCAGAAGCCCUCCACUGAAAGACCGGACCCACUGCCUACUCCUCCUGGCAGGUGCCCUGGACAAGGGCACAGACUUCACAGCGUUCAAGUGUGAAGGGAUUGUCCUUCUCCAGCCCUGGAUAUUAAAAGGUCUACCCCGAUGAGCCAUGGAGGGACUCUGAGUGUGUGUGUGUGUGUGUGUGUGUGUGUGUGUGUGUGUGUGUGUUGGAGGAGUUGCUUAUGGAAAAUAUUUUUCCUGCUCUUAAAAAGGGACUCCUGCCAGGCAUGGUGGCUCAUGCCUGUAAUCCAAGCAGUUUGGGAGGCCGAGGCAGGUGGAUCACCUGAGGUCAG
rnacentral:lncRNA from 1 species